GUUUCAAUAAUUUAAACAAAAUACUGGUCUUGUAAACCAGAAAUAAGAAACAUCUUUUGAAACA
rnacentral:tRNA from 1 species